rnacentral:miRNA from 1 species
GCUGUAGAUAGGCCCUUCAAC